AUUCUCAUUCUUACCUGGGUUUGCUUCAUUUAAAGCAUUAUUUAAACCACUCAAUUUUUAAUCAUUCUCCACAGAAACUAAAAUACAUGUUCUUCCACAAUACAGAGUCACGUUGCUGGCUGCACUUCCCACGCCUGGUGCUUCUCACCCACCCUCUUCUUGAAACUGAAAGAGCGCCCAAUUUUCUUAAUUGACAGGACGUUUUCGGGAGAAGAUAGCACCUCCACCAUCUGCACAAGAAUCCCCUCCCACGACCAGCUUCAGCCAAUUGAGUCUUGGGAGCACCAGUCCCUCCAAGCCAGUGGUAAGAGGCAGCACCCCGGGAAAAGAGAGCAAGUUGUGACCUAAGGACUGAGGACAAGGAGUUCAGCUCAGAUCAGGAACUUGCUGAAAGAAGACCCCAUCGGUAGCUCAUGCAGACUCAGUGAAACUUUGCAGGCACCAGUGCUGGAAUACCGCUCAGAAUGUUCCAGUACCUUAGACCAGCAUCAGGGAACCUUCCAGAGGGGAAGUCAAGCAGCUUGCCCACCCAUGAGAAGAGUUUGAAGAGUUGCAAGCAGGAGAAACAAAAUCUGUGAGGGUGACGAGAGUGACCAAACCUGCAAGCCAGACUUCAAGCUCUUUGACAGAGAAAAAACACAUCUCAUCUUUAUGUUCUUCCUGGCACCUCUGAGAGACAUGGAGAGACUCAGGAAGCUGGUGGAUCGUGGUUCAGGGCAGUCAUGGAUGCAGGUGCGUUUACCUUUGACUGAAGUUGGAGCCGCCUUCUCUGGGAUGACUGUUGGUUGGUCUCCUCCACAUCAUACAGUAGGAAGGUGAUCUCACUGGGAUUACCACCUCCCCACCUGACGCCGCCCCCAGGCAGGCCAGUCUGCUUAGCCCCGAUAUCCCCGAGGUGGCAGAUGCUUUGUCCCCAUUGCCUCAGCUCUGCCUGAGAGCUGUUGCUACCCACCAUGCAUUGUGCUAAUCCUGGGAAUGACCUUGCGGGGCGGGCAGGAAACAAGCAAGAAAUCAGUAUUGUUGCAGAGCUGUCCAUCAGAGUGUCCGGGCUAAGUAUGGCUGGCUUAGGGACCACUUUCGGCAUGAACUUGGAGCUCUUAAGGGCAAGGUCUGAAGCAUCUCCAUAUUCACAGUGCCUAGCUUAGCACCUAGUAGGUAUUCACCUGGCAUGGAGUACGUGAAUUGUGUCUAUAGUUAGCAGCAACUGAGAAGUUCGUGGAGGCAAUGAGAACAGAUGUUAAUGGCUGUAGUGAAUGUCCUCCUGGGCCACUCCCAUCCCCAGUGAGAGUGCAUCACCCCUUUGAUGUAUAGCAAAGUUCUGGGUCCCCAGCACAAAACACAGAAAGGGCUUCCUGCCUUUUGUUGUUGCAAAAUCUCUGCCUCCCCUGGGGAAAGAAAAAAGAGUGUGGGGGGACAUUCUGUGUAUACAUC